rnacentral:rRNA from 1 species
ACGACAAAACGGGUGAAAAACCCGUUCGCCGAAAGACCAAGGGUUCCAGUCCAACGUUAAUCGGGGCUGGGUGAGUCGACCCCUAAGGCGAGGCCGAAAGGCGUAGUCGAUGGGAAAAUGGUUAAUAUUCCAUUACUUCUGUGUAAUGCGAUGAGAGGACGGAGAAGGCUAAAUCAGCCUGGCGUUGGUUGUCCAGGUGAAAGGAUGUAGGCAUGUAUCUUAGGCAAAUCCGGGGUACUCUAUGCUGAGAUCUGAUAGCAAGCUGUACUUGUACAGCGAAGUGGUUGAUGCCAUGCUUCCAGGAAAAGUCUCUAAGCUUCAGUUACACAGGAAUCGUACCCGAAACCGACACAGGUGGUCAGGUCGAGUAGACCAAGGCGCUUGAGAGAACUCUGCUGAAGGAACUAGGCAAAAUGGUACCGUAACUUCGGGAGAAGGUACGCUGUUGUUGGUGAUGGAACUCGCUUCCUGAGCUGACGACAGCCGCAGAAACCAGGCCGCUGCAACUGUUUAUUAAAAACAUAGCACUCUGCAAACACGAAAGUGGACGUAUAGGGUGUGAUGCCUGCCCGGUGCUGGAAGGUUAAUUGAUGGGGUUAGCGUAAGCGAAGCUCUUGAUCGAAGCCCCAGUAAACGGCGGCCGUAACUAUAACGGUCCUAAGGUAGCGAAAUUCCUUGUCGGGUAAGUUCCGACCUGCACGAAUGGCAUAAUGAUGGCGGCGCUGUCUCCAGCAGAGGCUCAGUGAAAUCGAAAUCGCUGUGAAGAUGCAGUGUACCCGCGGCUAGACGGAAAGACCCCGUGAACCUUUACUGCAGCUUGACACUGAACUUUGACCUUACUUGUGUAGGAUAGGUGGGAGGCUUUGAAGCUGGAACGCUAGUUCCAGUGGAGCCGUCCUUGAAAUACCACCCUGGUAAUGUUGAGGUUCUAACUCUGUCCCGUGAUCCGGGACGAGGACCGUGUCUGGUGGGUAGUUUGACUGGGGCGGUCUCCUCCUAAAGAGUAACGGAGGAGUACGAAGGUGCGCUCAGCGUGGUCGGAAAUCACGCGUAGAGUAUAAAGGCAAAAGCGCGCUUAACUGCGAGACCCACAAGUCGAGCAGGUACGAAAGUAGGUCUUAGUGAUCCGGUGGUUCUGUAUGGAAGGGCCAUCGCUCAACGGAUAAAAGGUACUCUGGGGAUAACAGGCUGAUACCGCCCAAGAGUUCAUAUCGACGGCGGUGUUUGGCACCUCGAUGUCGGCUCAUCUCAUCCUGGGGCUGAAGCAGGUCCCAAGGGUAUGGCUGUUCGCCAUUUAAAGAGGUACGCGAGCUGGGUUUAGAACGUCGUGAGACAGUUCGGUCCCUAUCUACCGUGGGCGCUGGAAAUUUGAGAGGAUCUGCUCCUAGUACGAGAGGACCAGAGUGGACGAACCUCUGGUGUACCGGUUGUGACGCCAGUCGCAUCGCCGGGUAGCUAUGUUCGGAAGGGAUAACCGCUGAAAGCAUCUAAGCGGGAAGCCUACCUCAAGAUAAGAUUUCCCUAGGACUUUAUGUCCUCUAAAGAGCCGUUCGAGACUAGGACGUUGAUAGGUUGGAUGUGGAAGCAUAGUGAUAUGUGAAGCUGACCAAUACUAAUUGCUCGUGAGGCUUGACUAU